AGCGAACGCUGGCGGCGUGCCUAACACAUGCAAGUCGAACGUGAAAAGGGAAACCUGAGUACAGUGGCGUACGGGUGAGUAACGCGUAGGUAAUCUACCCCAGAAUCUGGAAUAACCUGCCGAAAGGCGGGCUAAUACUGGAUAGAGCGAGGGAACUCGUAAGAGAGUUUUUCGGGAAAGGGAGCCCGCAAGGGCCUUCGUUCUGGGAUGAGCCUGCGUCUCAUUAGCUAGUUGGUAAGGUAACGGCUCACCAAGGCGAUGAUGAGUAGCUGGUCUGAGAGGAUGAUCAGCCACACUGGAACUGAAACACGGUCCAGACUCCUACGGGAGGCAGCAGUGGGGAAUCUUGCGCAAUGGACGAAAGUCUGACGCAGCCACGCCGCGUGAGUGAAGAAGGCCGUCGGGUUGUAAAGCUCUGUCGGAUGGGACGAACAUCUUCAUAGUGAAUAGCUAUGAGGACUGACGGUACCAUCAAAGGAAGCACCGGCUAACUCCGUG
rnacentral:rRNA from 1 species